rnacentral:rRNA from 1 species
UACGGAGGGGGCUAGCGUUGUUCGGAAUUACUGGGCGUAAAGCGCACGUAGGCGGCGAUCUAAGUCAGAGGUGAAAGCCCGGGGGCCUCAACCCCGGAAUAGCCUUUGAGACUGGAUUGCUAGAAUCUUGGAGAGGCGGGUGGAAUUCCGAGUGUAGAGGUGAAAUUCGUAGAUAUUCGGAGGAACACCAGAAGCGAAGGCGGCUCACUGGCCCGAUACUGCGCUGAGGCGCGAAAGCGUGGGGAGCAAACAGGG